rnacentral:rRNA from 1 species
CCUACGGGAGGCAGCAGUGGGGAAUCUUGGACAAUGGGCGCAAGCCUGAUCCAGCCAUGCCGCGUGAGUGAUGAAGGCCCUAGGGUCGUAAAGCUCUUUCGCCUGUGAAGAUAAUGACGGUAGCAGGUAAAGAAACCCCGGCUAACUCCGUGCCAGCAGCCGCGGUAAU